GAAAAGACAAAAAAAAAAAAGUCAGUAUCAAUAAUACACCAAAAUGCUCAUUAAUCUGAGAGUCUGAUGACCUAGCAGCUUAACCACAGUCGAUUUUAGUCAGAAGUGUCUGGAGGAAAAGAAAGAUAAAUCUACUUAAUUAUUAGCUCUAGGAAAAUUUCACUUCAUUUGAAGACAAUCUCAAUUUUGGAUCCUAUUUGGACAUGACUACCAUGGCCCUUCUGGGGUAAAACUGCCCUCUAGAAAGCUAUGGACUUGACGUGUGACCAACCUAAUUAAUGAAAAUGGCCUCUAACUUUAACCUACGACCAUGAAUGAUGCCUACCUACCUAUUUCAUAGCUUAAUGAGAUUAACAAGCCACUUCCUUUGGGAGGCCAAAGAAAGUCAGAAGCAAGAAUAUAUCCUCUGCUGUGGGCUGCCCUCCAUUUGAGUUAUGGACUGAGGUUUAGAUGGAUCAAGUAGAGGUCUGAGGAUUGGGACAGUUGUUUCCAUAACUGGUCAGCACACAUCAGAUUCUCCAAGAUGCAGACAACCCUACUGUCAUAAUGGGAUUUCGAUCUACAAGAACCUGUGUACUAAGUAAAUGCUGAGAUACAGACAAGGGGAUAAAAGGUCUAUAGAAUGCAGUCCCCGCCACCAAGGAGCUCACAGUCUGAUGGGUAAGACAACCUAUUUAUUAAUAAUCAUUAGUAAAUCAUUUAAAUUUAACCUGUUUUCAUUAAGAGAUAAACAAGGCACAAAAUUUGAGAGAGGAAAUAAUUAUCUGUCAGAAAUAGCAGGGAAAGCCUUACAGGGGAGGAUGGACUCUGAAGUACGAGUAGAAGUUCUCUGUGUGAAAAGGUUAAAGGGCAUUCUUGGCAGAGUGACAGCAUAUACAAAGGCAGAGAAGUUUAGACUACUGCCAUGUGUUCAGUAAGAGCUGCAAGAAGAUUGGAAGUUCAGCACAAGGCUGAAUUAAAACCUCAGGUUGCCUAUCUUUGAAGCACCUGCAUUUGAACAUAGAGAACACGUAGAUGCCUGAGUGGAUUGUUCUUGGGCUUCAUGGCCAUGGGUGGAGGGGUCACCCAUGAAAUUAAGCAUCCUGGAUUGUUUCUAAAGCAUAUUUGCGAAUGUGUUGCUGUGCCCAUACUGCCAGCCCCUUGGAUUAAUGACUAUCCCUGGAGAGAGGGCUCCAGGAUCAGGUUAAACUUUGGGAGAGUGUUGGAGAAGAAGGGAUGAGGGCUUCUGAUUCAGUUAAUACAGGAGUCAAAACUGGCAAGGUGAUUCUUUAGCCAUAAACCCCUGGAGUGGGUCUUAGUCACUUUUCUAAACAGGAAUAGCUCCAGAUCUUCUUAGACUAUAUGGGUUCUCUGUGUGGGUGGGCUAUGUACACUACACUGAAAACUUUAUUUUCACCAUUUUCUUCAGGUGUUGCAUUACUGCUAUGAAUAUAUGUGCACUGUACAUCACUCAGAGCACAUAAUCACAGAGUACUGCAAUGUAAGCAAAGACUAAGCAGUUUACCAUUAUCUUCCUGGUGAUAGAUGAACGUGAGGUGUGUAUGCAAUAGCAAAGCCUACAAGAUGACCUUGUGACAGAGAUUAAAUCAUACAUACUUCUAUGUAUUCAAAUGCCCACACCCCCACAUGGACCUGGGGGCCACCUGCACACAUACUCAACAUUUUACACUGGAUAGAAUUAUUUUAUUAUCACCUUUACCAGGUACUAAAAAGAUUUUAUGCCUGAAAUUGGUAGCAAAAGCAAAACCACAUUCAUCACUAUCUCCUCUUUUCAAAGAGACUUGGGUUUAAUAAAUAAAAGAGAGUAAAAAUUGCUUCUACCAAUUCAGGAUUUAAUACUAUAUACUCUGAAUCACUUGAUUCAGUUGUUUUUAAAGUUUAAGUUUUCUUACUAUCUAUCAUUCUGAAUAGUGAAUCUUUCCUUAGUAAAAUUACAAAAUGCAUGCUCAAUUUCUAAUGAAUUUCCUCUUAGUCUGGUUAGCCACUGAACUCAAUUUCUAUCACACAAGGUUUUCCUAGAAAUGACUGGAUUGUUAUUGGAGCCCAAAAUUGUUUAUUUUUAUUGAAGUAUAGUUGGUUUACAGUGUUGUGCCAAUUUCUUCUGUACAGCAAAGUGACCCAUUCAUACAUAUACAUAUAUUCUUUUUCUCAUACUAUCUUCCAUCAUGUUCUAUCCCAAGAGAUUGGAUAUAGUUCCCUAUGCUGUACAGUAGGACCUCAUUGCUUAUCCAUUCCAAAUGUAAUAGUUUGCAUCUGCCAACCCCAAACUCCUUGUCUAUCCCUCCUCUCUCCCCCAUAGUUCUCUGUUACUAUGUUUAUAUUUUGUAGAUAGGUUCAUAUGUGUCAUAUUUUAGGUUCAUUCGUGCCAUAUUUUAGAUUCCCCAUCUAAAUGAUAUAAUAUGGUAUUUGUCUUUCUCUUUCUGAUUAACUUCACUUAGUAUAAUAAUCUCUAGUUGCAUCCAUGUUGCUGUGAAUGGCAUUAUUUUGUUCUUUUUAUGGCUGAGUGGUGUUCCAUUGCAUAUAUGUACCACAUCUUCUUAAUCCAUUCAUCUGAUUUUCAAGAAUGAACUCAGACGUGCAAAAAUGUUUUCUAAAAUUAUACUUAGUUUUUUCCUGAAAAUCUAUUUGAUUGGAAAAAAAAUCAAGACCAGCCUCCUGGGCACCCACCUCUAUGUUCUUCUAGCUUCCCCUCCUUCUAUCUUCCCCCACCUCAGAAGGCUGGGUGAACACAAUCAACUUCCUAUCUAUAAUUACCCUACGUACACAUUUUGAUUUUUAAAAAUGCACUUCAAAAUGAAAGUGAAAUUGGAAAAGGCUAAAUUUAUUUUAGGUCAACUUUUUAUUUUAGUUAUACCUACCUGAAUAUUUUGAGAAUUGGUCCUAUUUACAAAUAGGCCAUUGCUGAGAUUUGUUGCUCUUUCUCAGGGAAAAUCAGCCACCAAUGUUUAGGUGAGUAGGUUGAUAACUGGGACACCAUAUAAGCAAAACAAACCACCCAGCAAUCAGCUAGACCAACCUCAAAGAUCAGUACAAAUGCCUCCAGAAAAAGAAAAGGAAAGAAGAGAAAAAGAAAAGAAAAAGCUUCUAGUUGCUUUCUAGAAGGUACUGAAAUAUCACUUCUGUUGAAAGGACACAUGAACUCUGAAUCUUACUGUCGUCCUGUUUGGUUUUUUUAUCAACCACUACUCAAUCUGUGGCUCCUAAACUUCAUGUUCUUUGAUUAACUCCUAAAACUGAUCUUCUGACCCAGAAAAGACAAUUAUAUUUCAUUCACAUGCUAGUCAGUUCAGUUAAGAGAAAAGAAGAGGUGCUCUGGGACUUUGGUUUCUGGCAAGUAGGGGCACUAGAUACUCUGACAAAAAUAAAUGGCCCAUUCCAAAAGAGCUGGAUGUGAGGUAAAUCACAACUUAAAACCAUGGCUGGGCUCACAAAGAUGAAACUCUCCAAGGUCAACAACAAACAAAAACAACAACAACAAAGUGGGGGUAAAUAAAAUGAGGGUAGCAAAUAAUCAAAUGCCUUUAUCAAGAAUUCAGCAAUUUGGAAUUAAUAGUUGGCCAUGCACCAAAUUGGUGAUUAGAAUUGCCCAGAUUUGAACAAAGCUUAAUCUAAGAACCUGUGAUGCUCUCUUCACCAACAUACACACAAAGUCUGAGCCUUAAAAUGGAUGAGUAAGCUCAGAAAAAAUAAAUACUAAUCUUCCUGCAGCAAAGGAGGUGAAAAGGAAAUCUGCCUGUCUCUGCCACAGCUGUUAGAAAGAAUAAUAAAAACCACACUUUUCUGUGUACAGGUGAUGAUGGACUUGCCCCUUGUAUUAUCCACAUGUCCAGAAGAAUGCAAACCAAAGAUUUAAGGUGUACAGAGUUGUUAGUACCCCUUGGCUUUUGUUGAAAGUCAACAUACAUCCUCUACAGAGGAAAACAGGGCAACCUUAG
rnacentral:lncRNA from 1 species